ACAUGAAAGGAUGUGAAUUUGCAAUCAGAGAAACCUGAGUUCCACCAUGCUUUCUUCCUCUUGCAAGCCAUGAAAUCCACAGUGGGUUAGUGGAUAUUACAAAACCUCUGGUCCCACCUUAUUAAGAUGGAAAAAAAUAAGACUAAUUGAAAGAACAAAUGUGAUAAUGAGAAGAAAUGGUAUCAAUAAAGUUCCUGGAACACAGUUAUGUGCAGUACUGAAGAGCAACUUCAGCUAUUGAGUUACACCUCAAUGCAACCUCCUGGCAGGCCAGCCUUAAGCCCAGCAGUCCAACCAUGCAUCUAAGCUGAGUUCUCAUCAGAGCCAACUUCAAUUAUAAACAACUGAGAUGAUGCCAGAGGCCAGAAUCCCUGAGAACCCAAUUUGCUGUCAUCACCACAGCUGAAACAAGGUGCUUGGCAUCUAGAAAAGCUGAUCUGUAGGAAAUUUCCAAUAGAGUUCAACUUUUUCUAAGUUUAAAGUGUACAAUAUCACCAAGGUGAGACACUCAAGAUAAAACUAGGCUUGUGUUUAAAUAUAAUAAAAAUAUUUGAAGAAUAGUAAGAGUGGUGACUACUUUUACACAGGAAUGUUUCAAAUAAAUUGUUUUUUUCUUGUGCCUUUUAAAUUUUGUGAUUUGUCAAUGAGAUGCUGACAUGUUUUUAAUGAAGCAUGCCUUGUAAAAUAAUAAGUGAAUGAAAACUACACCGUAAUAUUUACAUCAACAAAGCUAGAAGAAGACUGUAUGUCUCAAGAGGCUCCAUCAUCUACCCAGUGGCCACUUCACCAAAUUAAGAUCCAAAUACCAAAAAGAAAAGUAAUUAAAAUUUGUGUUGUAUGCCUUAUAAGACCAAACCUAUAAAAUGAGGGGAAACUUCACAAUUACUUGUAAUUUGCUCUGUGGAAUUGUAACAGAUGGAUUAUAAAGAUGAUUCCAUGAUAAACAUCUAAAUGUGGUUACUACC
rnacentral:lncRNA from 1 species